rnacentral:lncRNA from 1 species
AACUGGAGGGCGCCGACGGAGCGAAGGAGAACAACAAGCGCGCAGGAAAGGAAGUCCUUGCGGCCGCCCAAGGGCUGGCUCAAGCACCCGUGAAGAGGGUGAAUGCGGGAGGGGGAGCGGCGGAGGAGCUGCCACUCGAACUCUCGUGCUCACUCCACCCAGGAGGGGACCAUGUCCUACGGGUCUGCCCGCUCCUGGAGCGAAGGAUGCUGAAUCCGGACUUCGUAGACCGUCGUGUUCGGGGCGCAUGUUUCAAUUGUGGUGAGCCAGGCCACAUGUCCAAGGACUGAGCUCAGCAUGAUCGGCGGUCUGCUAGCAAUCGUCACAAGAAUAGGGCUAAUCAAAGAGAAUGGAGAUGAACCAAUUUCAUACCUAAAUCUCUCCGGAGAUGAACGGAUCGACGAAUCGAAGCUCGGGAAGGAAGAAGAAGGCUUGGGGGAGGUUCACGGCGUCGCGGGGAUCACGUAGGCGGUGGCGGCUCGGCGAACGGGGCAGCGCAGCUCCGGCAAUUGCUCGCCGGAGUUUGGGCGGCGGCGGCGGCGGCGGUUUGGCCGGAAAUUGGGGCGCGGGGCGAGGUGCAGGGCGAGGGAGAACGCGGGCAGGCCAGGGGAAGUGAAUGAGGGGCUCGGGAGGAGUUUAAAGGGCCGGGGACGCGUGCGCGAGGUGGUCGGGUGCCGGCAGUUUGCCGCGCGGGCAUGGGUUGCGGUCUUGGGUGCGGCUGCGUGCACGGGCAGGCGCGGGAGGCGGCGUGGCCGGAAAUCGCGGGCGCCGGCGGUUGCCGGAUUGGCCGGAGGUGGGGGAUGACAGCAUAUUUCAUUGAGAAUAUGCUUUCCCGCGGAGAAAGCGUACUUUCAGAGGAAAAAGAAAAGAAUAAAAGAAAAAAAAUAUAAAAUACUUUUUAGGAUUUAUAAUUCACCCGAAAAUCCAUUUAAAUCAUUUAAAAUACCAAAUUGGUUCAGAAAAAUUCCCAAAAAUUCUGUAAAAUAAUAUAUUUCAUUUAGAGUCUUGGAAAAUUAGUCCCUUUCGAAACUAAAAUAAUAAAAAUAGUUUAAAUACUUUUAAGCUUUAAAUAAAUCCAAAUAAAAUCGUAGAAUGCAUUUAUAAUUUUUAGAAAAUUCUCAAAUCAAUUUCUAUCAACCUAACACAUUCCAAAACACCAUUUCCAACACUUUCAAUAAUGCAUCAUUACGAACACCAAAAUUUUAAGAUAUGAUCAAGGUGAUAUGCAUAAGAAAUGAAAAGGUGCGAAUAUCCGAAAUUGAAAAUUUGGGAUGUUACACCCUGUCUGAGAAUGAGCAGUGGGUCCUAGUCACCAUGAGAAUAGUGGACUGUAAUUUUUUUUUCGGUCUGUAAUGAACCUAAUUAGUUUUACUUGGCCUUGGCAAGUCCCUGGC